rnacentral:misc_RNA from 1 species
AGCCUCUUCUUUAGCAAAAUCANUNNCUAUUGGAAAUUCAAANAGUUUUUUGAAACAAAAACCNAAUAAACGAGUUUUUGGUUUUUAUGUAUUUCUACAAUAAAGUAUUCCUUUAAUAAAUAUAGAUUAAAAUGCUAUNAGAUAGUUUAAAAAGCUAAUAAAAAACUAGCUUUCAAAUAAAUAAUUUAUUUUACAUUAAUUUAAUUCUUAUUUUUAAGAGAUUAAUUUUAUUAAUUUAGUUAGAAAAAAAAAAAAAGAUAAAUGAUAAAAACUUUGCAUUUAUUUUUUUUUNNNAUUCUACUAGAAUAUUAAAAAAUAAAAAAGACUAAAUUCUUUUUGUUUUUUGUAAUUUUUUUAAAUAUNNAAAAAAAUGAUUUUUCUUCCUAUCAUUAUUGAUACGGAAAAUAAGAUAAAUGAUAAAAAACUAGUAAGUUUUAUAAAAAAAGUAAGAUUUUGCCAUUGAGGAUGUAAAAAUNAAAUGNNAAAAAAUCUUUUCUCUUUAUCCAUUCUAAANNUUNANNGNUCAAAUANAAAUUU